UCGUUAACGAACGAGACCUUAACCUGCUAAAUAGUCAGAUCGGCUACGGCUGGUCGCAUUGACUUCUUAGAGGGACUGUCAGUGUCUAACUGACGGAAGUUUGAGGCAAUAACAGGUCUGUGAUGCCCUUAGACGUUCUGGGCCGCACGCGCGCUACACUGACAGAGCCAGCGAGUUUUUCAUCCUUUGCCGGAAGGUAUGGGUAAUCUUGUGAAACUCUGUCGUGCUGGGGAUAGAGCAUUGCAAUUAUUGCUCUUCAACGAGGAAUACCUAGUAAGCGUGAGUCAUCAGCUCGCGUUGAUUACGUCCCUGCCCUUUGUACACACCGCCCGUCGCUAAUACCGAUUGAAUGGAUA
rnacentral:rRNA from 1 species